rnacentral:rRNA from 1 species
AUUGAACGCUGGCGGCAGGCCUAACACAUGCAAGUCGAACGAGUGGCGGACGGGUGAGUAAUGUCUGGGAAACUGCCUGAUGGAGGGGGAUAACUACGGGAAACGUUAGCUAAUACCGCAUACCAUCGGAUGUGCUCAGAUGGGAUUAGCUAGUAGGUGGGGUAAAGGCCCACCUAGGCGACGAUCCCUAGCUGGUCUGAGAGGAUGACGAGCCCCACUGGACCUAAGCACCGGCCCAGCCCCUUAGGGGAGGAAGCGGUGGGGAGCUUUGCCCAUUGGGGGCAAGCCUAAUGCAGCCAUGCCGCGUGUAUGAAGAAGGCCUUCGGGUUGUAAAGUACUUUCAGCGGGGAGGCGUUACCCGCAGAAGAAGCACCGGCUAACUCCGUGCCAGCCGCCGCGGUAAUUC